rnacentral:rRNA from 1 species
UAGAGCUGCCCUAGAAGGUAUGCGGCGGACGGGUGAGUAACACGUGGGUAACCUGCCCAUAAGACUGGGAUAACUCCGGGAAACCGGGGCUAAUACCGGAUAACAUUUUGAACCGCAUGGUUCGAAAUUGAAAGGCGGCUUCGGCUGUCACUUAUGGAUGGACCCGCGUCGCAUUAGCUAGUUGGUGAGGUAACGGCUCACCAAGGCAACGAUGCGUAGCCGACCUGAGAGGGUGAUCGGCCACACUGGGACUGAGACACGGCCCAGACUCCUACGGGAGGCAGCAGUAGGGAAUCUUCCGCAAUGGACGAAAGUCUGACGGAGCAACGCCGCGUGAGUGAUGAAGGCUUUCGGGUCGUAAAACUCUGUUGUUAGGGAAGAACAAGUGCUAGUUGAAUAAGCUGGCACCUUGACGGUACCUAACCAGAAAGCCACGGCUAACUACGUGCCAGCAGCCGCGGUAAUACGUAGGUGGCAAGCGUUAUCCGGAAUUAUUGGGCGUAAAGCGCGCGCAGGUGGUUUCUUAAGUCUGAUGUGAAAGCCCACGGCUCAACCGUGGAGGGUCAUUGGAAAACUGGGAGACUUGAGUGCAGAAGAGGAAAGUGGAAUUCCAUGUGUAGCGGUGAAUGCGUAGAGAUAUGGAGGAACACAGUGGCGAGGCGACUUCCUGGUCUGUAACUGACACUGAGGCGCGAAAGCGUGGGGGAGCAAACAGGAUUAAAAUACCUGGUAUCCCACCCCGUUAACAAAUGAAGUNGUAAAUUGUUUAAAGGUUUCCCGNCCUUUNUUGCUUAAUUACCCCUUUACCACUCCCUGGGGGAGUUCGGGCNGGUUAACACUAAAGGAAUUAGCGGGNCCCCCCACGCGGUGACAUUUUGUAUUAUAAACAACCCAAAAACUUACUGUUUUUCUACCUUACACCAUAAUNGUGNCCNUGCGACAGUAGCGGUGUGUGUUUUCUCCCUCUAUAUAUUUACACACCCA